AGGUUCCUACACCAUAGACAGGUUCCUGACCCAUAGACAGGUUCCUACACCAUAGACAGGUUCCUACACUAUAGACAGGUUCCUACACCAUAGACAGGUUCCUACACCAUAGACAGGUUCCUACACCAUAGACAGGUUCCUACACCAUAGACAGGUUCCUGACCCAUAGACAGGUUCCUGACCCAUAGACAGGUUCCUGACCCAUAGACAGGUUCCUGACCCAUAGACAGGUUCCUGACCCAUAGACAGGUUCCUACACCAUAGACAGGUUCCUACACCAUAGACAGGUUCCUACACUAUAGACAGGUUCCUGACCCAUAGACAGGUUCCUACACCAUAGACAGGUUCCUACACCAUAGACAGGUUCCUACACCAUAGACAGGUUCCUGACCCAUAGACAGGUUCCUACACCAUAGACAGGUUCCUGACCCAUAGACAGGUUCCUACACUAUAGACAGGUUCCUACACCAUAGACAGGUUCCUACACCAUAGACAGGUUCCUACACUAUAGACAGGUUCCUACACCAUAGACAGGUUCCUACACCAUAGACAGGUUCCUACACCAUAGACAGGUUCCUGACCCAUAGACAGGUUCCUACACCAUAGACAGGUUCCUACACUAUAGACAGGUUCCUGACCCAUAGACAGGUUCCUACACCAUAGACAGUCAAUUUCUUUUGAGUUGAAAGAAUGUUUAGCUAUUUCUAUGAUCAACCCAUACAUAAUGUAGACCUACAUGUGUCGCCAUUGACAAUGAUUUCACAAGAGGCCUAAUUCACAUGAUAUGACUCAAUAACUAUAGCCACUAAUACAGGGCUGCCCAACCCUCUUCCUGGAGAUCUACUGUCCUGUAGGUUAUCAGUCCAACCCUCCAGGAAGAGGGUCAAUCAAAUCAAAUGUAUUUAUAUAGCCCUUCUGACAUCAGCUGAUAUCUCAAAGUGCUGUACAGAAACCCAGCCUAAAACCCCCAAACAGCAAGCAAUGCAGGUGUAGAAGCACGGUGGCUAGGAAAAACUCCCUAGAAAGGCCGAAACCUAGGAAGAAACCUAGAGAGGACCCAGGCUAUGAGGGGUGGCCAGUCCUCUUCUGGAGAUUAUAACAGAACAUGGCCAAGAUGUUCAAAUGUUCAUAAAUGACCAGCAUGGUCAAAUAAUAGUAAUCACAGUGGUUGUUGGGGGUGCAACAAAUCAGCACCUCAGGAGUAAAUGUCAGUUGGCUUUUCAUAGCCGAUCAUUAGGAGUAUCUCUACCGCUCCUGCUGUCUCUAGAGAGUUGAAAACAGCAUGUCUGGGACAGGUAGCACGUCCGCUGAACAGGUCAGGGUUCCAUAGCGGCAGGCAGAACCGUUGAAACUGGAGCAGCAGCACGGCCAGGUGGACUGGGGACAGCAAGGAGUCAUCAUGCCAGGUAGUCCUGAGGCAUGGUCCUAAGGCUCAGGUCCUCCGAGAGAGAGACAGAGAGAAAGAAAGAGAGAGCGAAUUAGAGAGAGCAUACUUAAAUUCACACAGGACACUGGAUAGGACAGGAUAAAUACUCCAGAUAAAACAAACUGACCCUAGCCCCCCAACACAUAAACUACUGCAGCCUAAAUACUGGAGGCUGAGACAGGAGGGGUCAGGAGACAGGGCCAAACAGGCAGGAUAUAACCCCACCCACUUUGCCAAUGCACAGCCCCCACACCACUAGAGGGAUAUCUUCAACCACCAACUUACCAUCCUGAGACAAGGCCGAGUUUUGCCCACAAAGAUCUCCUCCACGGCACAACCCAAGGGGGGGGCGCCAACCCAGACAGGAAGAUAACCUACAGGACAGUAGAUCUCCAGAAAGAGGGUUGGACUGAAAACCUACAGGACAGUAGAUCUCCAGAAAGAGGGUUGGACUGAUAACCUACAGGACAGUAGAUCUCCAGAAAGAGGGUUGGACUGAACCUAGCUGAGAUAAACUUCAUGAGUUGAUUUUUUGUGGCUAGAACUCAGUGUCUUUAGCAUCCUAAAACCUACUCUGAGUUGUUGUUCUUAAACCAGAUUCUAAUAUGAUUCCUAGGACCUUUUCUGAGAUGCUUUGUGGAUACGGGGCCCUAGUCCUGUAUGUAUUCACAAAGCAUCUCAGAAUAAGUGUGGUGAGUGCCGUACCACUACUCCUCCUGGGCACCUGGCUGUUUAUAGCUGCAUCUGGAUGACACCUUCCUGUACUAUAUGGAUAAGAGGAGUGGAAAAAUUGUGGUUUGAUUAAGUGCUGUUGUAUAUAAUCUUUGACUUCCAGACUUGCGCUCUCUGGACCUCUCUCUCUCUGGACCUGUCUCUCUCUCUGGACCUCUC